GAUGAGCGCUGGCGGCGUGCCUAAUACAUGCAAGUCGAGCGAACAGACGAGGAGCUUGCUCCUCUGACGUUAGCGGCGGACGGGUGAGUAACACGUGGAUAACCUACCUAUAAGACUGGGAUAACUUCGGGAAACCGGAGCUAAUACCGGAUAAUAUAUUGAACCGCAUGGUUCAAUAGUGAAAGACGGUUUUGCUGUCACUUAUAGAUGGAUCCGCGCCGCAUUAGCUAGUUGGUAAGGUAACGGCUUACCAAGGCAACGAUGCGUAGCCGACCUGAGAGGGUGAUCGGCCACACUGGAACUGGACCACGGUCCAUGCUCCUACGGGAGGCAGCAGUAGGGAAUCUUCCGCAAUGGGCGAAAGCCUGACGGAGCAACGCCGCGUGAGUGAUGAAGGUCUUCGGAUCGUAAAACUCUGUUAUUAGGGAAGAACAAAUGUGUAAGUAACUAUGCACGUCUUGACGGUACCUAAUCAGAAAGCCACGGCUAACUACGUG
rnacentral:rRNA from 1 species